rnacentral:rRNA from 1 species
UUUAUGAAGGGUAUGAUCUUGGCUCAGAACGAACGCUGGCGGCGUGGAUUAGGCAUGCAAGUCGAACGAGGGAGUAUUCCGAAAGGGAUACAAAUCGAGUGGCGUAAGGGUGAGUAAUGCAUUGAUAACCUACCUUUAAGAUGAGGAUAACGACGUUUCGAGCAAUCGGAACUACCGAAAGGGUUGCUAAAACUCAAUAAAACUAUUGAUACCUCGGUAUUGAUAGUCAAAUGUUUGGAGCCGUAAGGUUCCAUUCGCUUAGAGAGGGGUCAAUGUCCUAUCAGCUAGUUGGUGAGGUAACGGCUCACCAAGGCUAAGACGGGUAGCUGGUCUGAGAGGACGACCAGCCACACUGGAACUGAGACACGGUCCAGACACCUACGGGUGGCAGCAGUCGAGAAUUUUUCACAAUGG